rnacentral:rRNA from 1 species
GACGAACCGUGCGAACGUUAUUCGGAAUCACUGGGCUUAAAGCGCGUGUAGGCGGAUGGGGACGUCGGUCGCUGAAAUCCCCCGGCUCAACCGGGGAACGGGCGCCGAAACGCCCCGUCUGGAGGGACGUAGGGGGACCUGGAACUUCCGGUGGAGCGGUGAAAUGCGUUGAGAUCGGAAGGAACGCCCGUGGCGAAAGCGAGGUCCUGGACGUCUUCUGACGCUGAGACGCGAAAGCCAGGGGAGCAAACGGG